GGACAUAUGGUGUAGCUGGUUAUCACGCCCGUAUCAGAUUGGGUGAAAUUAUAACAGUCUCUGCGGGAGGGGCUCGGUUCAACUCCGGGUGUGUCUC